rnacentral:rRNA from 1 species
GGUUAAGUUAGAAAGGGCGCACGGUGGAUGCCUUGGCACUAGGAGCCGAAGAAGGACGGGACUAACACCGAUAUGCUUUGGGGAGCUGUACGUAAGCGUUGAUCCAGAGAUUUCCGAAUGGGGGAACCCACUAUCUUUAGUCGGAUAGUAUCCUUACGUGAAUACAUAGCGUGAGGAAGGCAGACCCAGGGAACUGAAACAUCUAAGUACCUGGAGGAAGAGAAAGAAAAAUCGAUUUCCUGAGUAGCGGCGAGCGAAACGGAAAGAGCCCAAACCAAGAAGCUUGCUUCUUGGGGUUGUAGGACACUCUAUACGGAGUUACAAAAGAAAGUUAUAAAUGAAGCGGUCUGGAAAGGCCCGCCAAAGACGGUAACAGCCCGGUAGUUGAAAUAGCUUUCCCUCCAGAGUGGAUCCUGAGUACGGCGGAACACGUGAAAUUCCGUCGGAAUCCGGGAGGACCAUCUCCCAAGGCUAAAUACUCCCUAGUGACCGAUAGUGAACCAGUACCGUGAGGGAAAGGUGAAAAGCACCCCGGAAGGGGAGUGAAACAGUUCCUGAAACCGUGUGCCUACAAGUAGUUAGAGCCCGUUAAUGGGUGAUAGCGUGCCUUUUGUAGAAUGAACCGGCGAGUUACGAUUUGUUGCAAGGUUAAGCGGAAAAAGCGGAGCCGUAGCGAAAGCGAGUCUGAAUAGGGCGCAUAAGUAACAGGUCGUAGACCCGAAACCAGGUGAUCUACCCAUGUCCAGGAUGAAGGUAAGGUAAUACUUACUGGAGGUCCGAACCCACGCACGUUGAAAAGUGCGGGGAUGAGGUGUGGGUAGCGGAGAAAUUCCAAUCGAACUUGGAGAUAGCUGGUUCUCUCCGAAAUAGCUUUAGGGCUAGCCUCGAGGUAAAGAGUCAUGGAGGUAGAGCACUGUUUGGACUAGGGGCCCUUCUCGGGUUACCGAAUUCAGAUAAACUCCGAAUGCCAUGUACUUAUACUCGGGAGUCAGACUGCGAGUGAUAAGAUCCGUAGUCGAAAGGGAAACAGCCCAGACCACCAGUUAAGGUCCCCAAAUAUAUGUUAAGUGGAAAAGGAUGUGGGGUUGCUUAGACAACCAGGAUGUUGGCUUAGAAGCAGCCACCAUUGAAAGAGUGCGUAAUAGCUCACUGGUCGAGUGACCCCGCGCCGAAAAUGUACCGGGGCUAAACAUAUUACCGAAACUGUGGAUGAACCUCUUUAGAGGUUCGUGGUAGGAGAGCGUUCUAAGGGCGGUGAAGUCAGACCGGAAGGACUGGUGGAGCGCUUAGAAGUGAGAAUGCCGGUAUGAGUAGCGAAAGAAGGGUGAGAAUCCCUUCCACCGAAUAUCUAAGGUUUCCUGAGGAAGGCUCGUCCGCUCAGGGUUAGUCGGGACCUAAGCCGAGGCCGAUAGGCGUAGGCGAUGGACAACAGGUAGAGAUUCCUGUACCAGUGCUAAUUGUUUAACCGAUGGGGUGACACAGAAGGAUAGGGAAUCGCACGAAUGGAAAUGUGCGUCCAAGCAGUGAGUGUGAGAAGUAGGCAAAUCCGCUUCUCGCGAAGCAUGAGCUGUGAUGGGGAAGGAAAUUAAGUACGGAAGUUCCUGAUUUCACGCUGUCAAGAAAAGCCUCUAGGAAGAGUAGUACUGCCCGUACCGCAAACCGACACAGGUAGAUGAGGAGAGAAUCCUAAGGUGAGCGAGAGAACUCUCGUUAAGGAACUCGGCAAAAUGACCCCGUAACUUCGGGAGAAGGGGUGCUCUAUUAGGGUGCAAGCCCGAGAGAGCCGCAGUGAAUAGGCCCAGGCGACUGUUUAGCAAAAACACAGGUCUCUGCAAAACCGUAAGGUGACGUAUAGGGGCUGACGCCUGCCCGGUGCUGGAAGGUUAAGAGGAGUGCUUAGCUUCGGCGAAGGUACGAAUUGAAGCCCCAGUAAACGGCGGCCGUAACUAUAACGGUCCUAAGGUAGCGAAAUUCCUUGUCGGGUAAGUUCCGACCCGCACGAAAGGCGCAACGAUCUGGGCACUGUCUCAACGAGAGACUCGGUGAAAUUAUAGUACCUGUGAAGAUGCAGGUUACCCGCGACAGGACGGAAAGACCCCGUGGAGCUUUACUGCAACCUGAUAUGGAAUGUUUGUACCGCUUGUACAGGAUAGGUAGGAGCCGAAGAGACGUGUGCGCUAGCAUACGAGGAGGCAAUGGUGGGAUACUACCCUGGCUGUAUGACCAUUCUAACCCGCCACGCUUAGCGCGUGGGGAGACAGUGUCAGGUGGGCAGUUUGACUGGGGCGGUCGCCUCCUAAAGAGUAACGGAG